CCUACGGGAGGCAGCAGUGAGGAAUAUUGGUCAAUGGGCGCGAGCCUGAACCAGCCAAGUAGCGUGAAGGAUGACUGCCCUACGGGUUGUAAACUUCUUUUAUAAAGGAAUAAAGUGAGGCACGUGUGCCUUUUUGUAUGUACUUUAUGAAUAAGGAUCGGCUAACGCCGUGCCAGCAGCCGCGGUAAUACGGAGGAUCCGAGCGUUAUCCGGAUUUAUUGGGGUUAAAGGGAGCGUAGAUGGGUUGUUACGUCAGUUGUGCAAGUUUGCGGCUCAACCGUAAAAUUGCAAUUGAUACUGGCAGCCUUGCGUACAGUUGCGGUAGUCGGACUUCGUGGUGUAGCGG
rnacentral:rRNA from 1 species